AACGAACGCUGGCGGCAUGCCUCAUACAUGCAAGUCGAACGAGGUCCUCGGACCUAGUGGCGCACGGGUGAGUAACAUGUGGGAAUCUACCUGAAGGUUCGGAAUAACUGCGGGAAACUGUAGCUAAUACCGGAUGUGUCUGAAAAGAGAAAGAUUUAUCGCCUUCAGAUGAGCCCGCACUAGAUUAGCUAGUUGGUGAGGUAAUUGCUCCACCAAGGCUACGAUCUAUAGCUGAUUUGAGAGGAUGAUCAGCCACACUGGGACUGAGACACGGCCCAGACUCCUACGGGAGGCAGCAGUAGGGAAUAUUGGACAAUGGGGGAAACCCUGAUCCAGCAAUGCCGCGUGAGUGAAGAAGGCCUUCGGGUUGUAAAGCUCUUUCAUCAAUGAUGAUAAUGACUAUUAGUUGAAGAAGAAGCCCCGGCUAACUUCGUGCCU
rnacentral:rRNA from 1 species